GGAAGACCUGACAGGAAAGUCAAUGUUAUACAUCAACAGAUAUAUAAUGGGGCGGCAGGGUAGCCUAGUGGUUAGAGUGUAGAGGUGGCAGGGUAGCCUAGUGGUUAGAGUGUAGAGGUGGCAGGGUAGCCUAGUGGUUAGAGUGUAGAGGUGGCAGGGUAGCCUAGUGGUUAGAGUGUAGAGGUGGCAGGGUAGCCUAGUGGUUAGAGUGUAGAGGUGGCAGGGUAGCCUAGUGGUUAGAGUGUAGAGGUGGCAGGGUAGCCUAGUGGUUAGAGUGUAGAGGUGGCAGGGUAGCCUAGUGGUUAGAGUGUAGGGGCGGCAGGGUAGCCUAGUGGUUAGAGUGUAGAGGUGGCAGGGUAGCCUAGUGGUUAGAGUGUAGAGGUGGCAGGGUAGCCUAGUGGUUAGAGUGUAGAGGUGGCAGGGUAGCCUAGUGGUUAGAGUGUAGAGGUGGCAGGGUAGCCUAGUGGUUAGAGUGUAGAGGUGGCAGGGUAGCCUAGUGGUUAGAGUGUAGAGGUGGCAGGGUAGCCUAGUGGUUAGAGUGUAGAGGUGGCAGGGUAGCCUAGUGGUUAGAGUGUAGAGGUGGCAGGGUAGCCUAGUGGUUAGAGUGUAGAGGUGGCAGGGUAGCCUAGUGGUUAGAGUGUAGAGGUGGCAGGGUAGCCUAGUGGUUAGAGUGUAGAGGUUGCAGGGUAGCCUAGUGGU